AAUGACAAUGCUUGUGCUGGGCACCUAACAAAUAUUUACAGCUAUUAUUUCUCAUUCCUCUGACCCCCUUCAUAGCUAAUGUAGUUUUAACAGCUAGGACAGAGGACAGAGGAAAUGGAAACCAUAGGGGAAGAGGAAGAAGGGUGUCUGCGGAUGUUUUAGCUAUAUUUACACUGUGAGAUGCAGAAGACAGAGAGACAAAAGCAGAGAUCAGAGCUUCAAGGCCCAGAAAAGUAACAGGUGAGUCCCAGACUGAAAAAGAAAAACCUGAUCUAAAAGAACAGGCCUCCAUUUAUGAGACCCUG
rnacentral:lncRNA from 10 species